CAGGGAGUGGAAGAACUGUGAAAAAGGCUGACUACCAAUCAGGUGAAGUCACCACAGGGAUGCUUUGCAGUUGUUAAUGAUCCAAAUUUUCAACCAGGAAGGAAAUCAGUGUUCUUAUGUACUCACGAGACCCUCAAGAUUUCCUUAGCAACGUGAUCCGGAGAAAUCAUAUCAAGACCACAGGUUAAAUGUGUGACACUCGGGCAUCAUUAAGUUCUUAAUCUCUGUCAAGGAAGGAAAGAGGAAGUCAGAGGAGAGAACACUGCUAAGGGCCCUGCCCUUGGAAGGCAUUUUAUUUAAAAUACUGAAGCAAGGAGGAGCAGUCUUUAACAUCACUUACAAAUCAGCUGGAUGCUAUAGAUCCCUCAACACCCUUUAUAUCAUCCCAUUUAAUUUACUACAUGCUACUCUAAAAGGAGAAAAACAUACACUAG